GGGGUUGUGGCUCAAUGGUAGAUCGCUCACCUAGCACGUGCGAGGCGCUGGGUUUGAUCCUCAGCACCACA
rnacentral:tRNA from 1 species